GUGUUAGCUCUCUUAAUUACUAUAAAAAAAAUAAUUAGUGACAACCCCCCUCUCCCUCACCUCCCCUGGAAAAAAAAAAAUAACGGAAAGAAAAGAAAGGCAAAUAUAUGGGUGAAGGAAGGAAGGAUUUCCCCCUCUGGAAGGAUGCAUGCUUGAUAUGGAUCUUUUGUUUGCCCUGUGAACUCGGUGAAUACAGUGGCAAACAGAUGCUGCAGUUCGCGAGGCUUGUGCACUUGAAGGGAAUUGGGUUAGAGGCUCUUUCUGGGGCUUUGGAGUCGCAGCUGGAGCUCUUGCUCUCUGCCUCCUUCCCUUCCCUUCCCUGUUCAAGGCUGAGUGGCUUUAUGGGACCUGCCAGCUCGCAUCAGAGAGACUGGGGAGUAUUCAUGCAGGCACCUGCGGAUCUUCUGGAUCAGUAAAAUGGGAAAAAGUCUUGCAUCCUGCUGUGAUUGACUGCAUACCACUUGUAUGCACAGCAUCAAUAGGAAGUUGAAUAAAAUCUUGGUCAUUGGCUUGGUCAUUGUGCAGCCCUUCAAAUCCUUGGUGAAACUUCACCAUUGUAACUGCUUGCACAAUCAAAUAAUGGUAAGUCAUAAAAAAGAACUUAAUGAAUAAACAACUGAUAUAAAUUUUGAACCUACAAAACAAAGUGAUACAUUAGAGAGGUGUGGAAAAAAAACAUCCAGUUCUGUGAAGAUCUGCAUUCAUGCAGCUUAUCAAUACAGAUGAGUCAACUAAUGAAACCCCACAUCCCAUAAAGGUAGACAAUUUUUCUCUGCCUUUGAAGCAGAAAUAAAUCACAUGUAUUACCAUGCCUAAAGAAAACAGAUUUUUCUGUUGAAUUAUUCCUUUAUCUAUUAUAUGAACUACAACAUUGCUACAAAUCAGAAGAUAUAAAAACACUCCAAACCAUUAUUUUGUUAAACACCACCAUAUUUCACUGAGCAAAACUGAUGGCAGAAGAGGCAAGAAACACGAGACCACCAUUUUUUAACUCACUAGUCAUCUCUAUUAUGUGACAGAUUAUCACAUCAGAUUUUCCCCCUUCUCUCCACUCUUUUCUCUAUCUGCAUGAUAACAGCAUUUUAAUGCAUCCUUUGACAAUAUGUAGGCAAGUCUCUCUUCAAAAACCUCUAUUGCAGCCUAGGAUCCUGUCUAAUUCUAUUAUUUUAUGAAAAGCUUUCCCAGCACAGAAGAAUUUGAUCUAAGCUGUUCUGCUUUCCAAAUGAAAAUGUCUUAAGAUCGCAGUGUUUUUUUCUCCCCAGUCUCCAAGUUUCCCUCCCCUCUUCCCUCAGGUGAAAUUUAAAGCAAAAGGAAAACCACCUGCAGUGGGUAUCAUUGCACAGCUGGCAGAGGAGCACAGCUGGGUUUUCUAUUUCUUAGGUACAACAACUAUGCUAAGCCUCAAAAAAACCUCCAACCUGUUGUAGGCCAUAGAGUAUGUUCGCUCCAGUAUUUCACGGUCACAUUUCCCUCUCCUCCCUGCAUGCCCAGUUCUCAACAUCCCUGCAGUUUUCUGUAGGAGAAGGAUCGUGUUCUGUCCCAAAAUGUCAUAUGGUCUUCUAGCAGCUUCCAGACAUUGAUACCCAGAGUCAGUUUAGA